CUCAGUUGGCGCUCGCUCUGCGCUCUGCCCGUCAGCACUCAGCUGUUGCUGCUGCUGCCUGGGAUUUUCCUGCUGCCUGCUCUGGAGCACCAACCCCAGCAGGAUGAGCACUGCUGCUCCAGUGGAGACUAUCAGAGACAAUGUGGAGGAGAUGGAAGUGGACAUGGGGCAGAAUGAGGAUGAAAUGAUGGAGGUGGAUGUGAAAGAGCAGGUUGAGGACAUGGAUGUAGAUGCGGAGGAAAACAUCGAGGACAUGGAGGUGGAUGAAGAAGAGAACAUUGAGGAGAUGGAAGUGGACGAGAAGGAUGAGGAGGAGCCCAUGGUCCUUGGAUGAAGUUGGAGCCCCACAAGACUGGUGGAGAUGACGGCCGUAGAUAUUACGCCUGUGUAUAUAUGUUUGAAAAGUUAGAAGAUUUUUGUAAGUAUGUUCUUAGGUUAGUAGUUCUCUGUAAAUACGUUUUGAAGAUUGUUAGUCCCUAGGAUCCCAUAUAAAUAAAUCCUGUAAAUUGUUAUUGUUGUUGUUGUUGUUGUUCUAAGGAUUGUUGCAAUGAAAGGUGUUCUGUAAAUCCUAGAGUUUGGCAAUCUUUGGCAAAUAAAUACAGCUUCUUUUUAAACCUCA